ensembl:lncRNA
UGGAGAUCCCUGCCUACCUGAGGUCUGCUGAAGCUUCCUGCUCUGGAUGGUGACUUCAAAGCCGGCGUCAGCACUCACUCCAGCAGCCAGGGCAGCCAUAGCCUGCACACAGGGGAGGGCACUGGGACCAUCCAUCCUGCAGCUCUGUUCCAGCUGUUGCUGAUCUCCAGGGGCCAGUAAAAUACUUUGCGGGUCUGCAAUGCACUUUAAAAAUUGCAGUGGGUCUCUUUCCUCAGUGGUAAAUGUGUUCAUGCAGGGAGGAGAAAACUCCUCAGACAGGAGGCUCUCCCUGGUUGCAGAGCACCCUCUGAACUCUCUUCUACUGCAGGAGCCACAUUUCUGGGACCUGAAUGCAAUGCUGGGAGCUCAGAGGAUAGUCCUGGAGCUCUUCUGGGGUUAGGUCUGCUUGGGGAUUUUUACACUUCAGAGGGAAUUUCUUUAUAGAUUUAAAGAAGAGCUCUGCCAGUGCGCCUCAGCUGGGACCCAUGGCACCAUCUUCCCACCCAUCCCCAGCCUGCAGGCAGCUCGCACAGCAUUCCCUGCUAUCUCAGCCUUCAGCUUCUGCCCAUCUUUUCAAGCAGAACUCCAUCCAGAGCUACAAUAACACCCAAUCUUCUGUAUCUGAAAGCAUACACAAGGCUGAUUCUAGAUUUGUGAUGUGCAAAGGUUCCCUCCGUCCUACUUUUGGAAUACUCCUGGAUUUGUUAUCUGAGUUGCCUGUGGAUCCAGAUCUGCUGUUUUUCAUUGAUAAUGUGUUGGUUCCUCUCUGGAGUGUUGUGUCUCUGCUAUCGGUGGGUGUUUUAUGUGGUUAUCAGAGUUAAAAGCACAGCUCAGGCAUGGCUAGUCAUCUGCUGCAUAGCUUACUGAUUUUGAAUAAGAAGUGAAGGAGCCUUACGUUUUUGUUAUUACUGCGUCCAUCGCUGUUUUCUCACAUCUAUCUAUAUAUAUGUGUAUAUGCUCACUGCUGAAGCUCAAAGGAUUUAACUGGAAACAAGUAUACAUCAUCUGGGAAUAGGACAAAGCACUUCAGAGAUCUGAGCUUCACUUCAGUCACUUUUGGACCUCUCCCCAACAAACGCUUCUGCUGAUAAGGACACAGCAUUGUUAGCUUUGGAUUUUGCACCCAAGGGAGAAGAAAUGAGCAUGGAACGGCUGCUGCAAAUCAUAAACCAUGGGUUUCCCAAAGGUCUACUGGCAGUUAGGCUUCCUCAGUGGUUUGAGAUGUUGCUGUCAGCUCCCAUUUGUGCAGUGGUUCAACAAAGGGUGGUUGCUUGUUCUGCUCUGGGAAAACAAGUGAGGAAAAGGAUCCAGCAGCAAUGGCGUGGCUGGAUCAUCCAUAGCUCACCCCACCUCAGCUCUGAACACCUCUCUCAGGCUGAAGGUCAUGGAUCUCAAAGUUCCUCACCCUGCAAAGUGCAAACUGGUUUCCAAUCACCGUGCCUGUGGCUAGGAGGAAAAUAGGAUGCCUGGAGAUGUCUAAAGUCUCACUCAUGAGUUAAAGCGAGUUUUGAAGUUCUGCCAAAAAAGAAGGAUUAGGAAGGGAUUCUUUUUAUCUGCUUUUGAUAUAUGGUUUUUAUUUGUUGUUUGGCAUAGAAGCACUGUAGAUCAGUGUCCUUUGUAAAAGCACUGUUAUGAGCUGGGACUAAGGUCUGGUGCAGCAAGGAAAGGAUAGGGAUAAUGGGCAGACAUUCAGAUGUGAUGGCUGUUCAGUUCUUCUGCUGAAGGCUCUUCAGCAUUGGGUUUGCCUGGAUUAGGAGGAGAUGAAGAUGGAUGUUGCUGGUGAAGGCUGCCUGCUACCCAUGUCCCUCAGUGCCACAUCUCCAUGGUUCUUGAGCACCUCCCUGGGCAGCCCAUUCCAGUGCAUCACCACUCUUUCUGAGAAGAAAUUCUUCCUAAUAUGCAACCUGAACCUCCACUGGUGCAACUUAAGGCCAUUCCAUUGCAUCCUGUUGGGAACUUCUGCAUGCCUGAGUGCCUGAAGGUAACCAAGCACGUAUAUGCCUGCACCCAAAUUUACAUGCAACACCUCAGUGUCUGCUUGCUGACACUGCAUCAUUUCAUACCAUAUUCAGCACAGCUGUCAGAUAUUGAUUAAAAACCCUUUUGAUUUUUGUUGUUUAGGAUGAGAGGGGAGAACAAAAUAGAGUAAUAUUCUGCUCUACAGGGUCUUUAUUGGAUCUAAUGGGUUUUAGAGUAGUCAGGAUCCAAAGAGACAAGUUUAGGGAAAAUGAGGGAUCCAUCCAAGGGUGAGCACUAGUAUUGUUAAUGUAGAGUUCCUGUAAAGUGAUUUGAAGAGGGAAACCAAAAGAUUGAGGACAUGACUGACAUGAAAUUCUCUGAAAGAGGGCACUUGGUGCAGAACUCCUACAGAAACAAUGCAGCCAGGCUGCAGUUCUGCGUGUUUGGGUACAUCAAGUUGCAAUGGAAGUUAUGGUCAGAGCAGUGCCUCUGUGUCAGGAAGGAGCAGCACCUGCACUGGUGCCUCAUCUCAACAUUGGUCUGCUUCUUCUCCAGGGCUUUAAGCCAAGGCAGAUGUCAGCAUCGGAAACAGUGGUGGGAGAGGAAGGAGGAAUACGUAAUACGAGGUAGUCUUUUGCAGUGUUGACAAGCUGGGUUAUCUAAUAAUUGGAUUAAUUAAUUAAUGUCUAGUCAACACCUAACAUAAUGAGCUGUUCAGGUUUCUGGUUGCCUGUUUCAUGGCUCAUGUUCUUGGUAUGAACACUGUGACCUCUCUGCCUCCGUAAAGGUUAUCCGUGUUGGAUCCUACUGCAGCUUCUUGUCACAGACCUCCUGCUUAUGCAGUGGAGCUCGACCUGGCUCUAUAGUCUGUGCAAUUCUGAUGUGGAUUUGAAACUCCUAAAAUCCUCAGGAUAGAGGGACUGAAAAUCAACUCAUUGUUUUGGAUUUCCGUACUGAACCUCCAUCUUCAAGGGACAAAGAAUGCUACAACAGAGGAACGAUUAGGACAUUAUCUGGCAGUGCUCCUAGUAAUGAAUUAUCAUCAUUUCUGACCAUAUAGGGUAUUAAAGCUCACAGUCCAAAACUGUUUUAUUAAGAAAGCAGCAUGAAAUCUAUAUUUUGCAUGUGAUAAAACUUUAUAUUUGCCAGCACUGAAAUGAACUUGUGGCUGUGUGUUGUACUGAGAAACUGCUUCUUGUAUUUUAACCUGUUUUGCAAAAUGCAAGGAAAGCACCUUUCAAAUACUCACCUAAUGUUCCUGAAGAAUUGAAAGCACUUAACAAAGAAGAAAAAGUGAGCUACAGCAGGGCUGAUAUCACUUCUUGUUUGCAGCAAUGAAAGCAAAACUGAAAGGAUUUCUGAGUUACAGGAGUGAUGUUUCAUUUAUGUAAGGUAGGUGCAUAAAAUUGGGUACUUCCUGCUUUGAACACAAUGCACAGUAAAAUUAAAACUGGAGCACUAAAGUAAGAUCUAUUCUAUAUGGCAAAAGUAGGUUUGUUUUCCUUAUCAAGACAAGAUUAAGAAGUGCUGCACUGCAGAUGCUUGGUUAUGAUAAGAGUGAUAUGACUUAUAACUAGAUGAAGAGUAUGAGAGCUGAUCUCCUCUGUCCAAAGCCCGUGUUAAAGAACUGGAAAUAGAAACAAGAUUGUUUCCCCAUUUCAGGCAUGCAGUGCACACAGAAUAAGUUUACAUCUAUAGAUGCUGUGAAAAAGCUUGUUCAGCUAUACAGUUAUUCUUUAAUAUCCUUCCUCAAG